CGACAGCAGGUAAACGAGCCGCGGGGAGCCCUUCAGGUGUCCGUAUAAAACGAGGAGCAGGGCUCCGGGCUCGGAGGAACCUCUGGCCCCCUGUGGGGAGGAGGCAGCUCCGAGUUGGAGCCCCGGCUGCAGGACGCCACACCCGGUGGAUGCUGAAAAUCCCCGGUCCUGAAGCCCAAACAAGCAGGACGCGUGAGGAACUGGGAGAUGGGGACGUGGAGACCACGCCAAACGCGGACCGGCGGACUGGACAACGGUGAUGUCCGUGGAUACGAGCAAAUGGACCGAGCCUAUGCUGGAUUCUAGCGGAGGUCGGGCUCGACGAAGGAGUUUCUCGUGGUUUUUUAGAACUAAGUUGGUUGCGAUGAGGAGGUAGGGAUAAACUUUUCAGCUUUUUACGCUAUCGAUCUCUCCCGGAAACGGGAAGAUGAGCCCUGCUUUGGGACCCAUUUGGAGCAUCUCAAAAAUCACUUAGCGCAUCAUUCCCCGCAGCCAGGAUCAAUCCGAGCAGCGGACCUGCUUCUCACCGAGGACCGGGGCGAAGUGGAGAACGGGCCUGUGUGUCUGCGCGCGGGAACAAAACACCCUGACGCAGGAUGUUACAAAGGGCCGACGUCCUGCAGCAGCAGCGUGGGACCACACGCGAACCUCCUCCUGUUCUGUGUAUGGCACUGGUAGAAUUCACUGUCACGGCAAGAUAUCAGUGAAUUACCAUAGGGCCAUAAACAGAGUAGAGACACCACGACGCUGCCUGGGGGUGUGUGUGUGUAUCAGCAGCGUGAAUGUCUCACAUCUUCUUCGCCUGUUUUGGCACUAGCACAUUUUUGCUUUGUUUCUCGUUGUUGGGGCAAUUAUGUGUGGUGCCAAUUUAGGACAAGACAGACGAUCAGCUGUGUGUGUUCCUGAGCUGUGGAUGUGAUCGGUUCUUAUUAGAUAUCACCGGUUGCCAUGGAGGCCAGUCUCUGAGAUGCCGUCCUGUGUAACCUGACCCCCCCCCCCUCCUCCCCUGGCGUCACACAGACACAGGGGGGGCACCGGUGCACUCUCCCACAGUGUUUGGCAAUGGUAGAACUCACUCUGGUGGGAUGGACGGAUCCGGUGGUUCUGGACUUGCCAAAAACUGGCCGAGAGCUUUUAGCCCUCCGCGCUCCGGCUCAGCGGGGACUGGUUGGUGCAGCGGGUGCACGGGGGUGGAAACAUCCCAGGAGGACGCGGCUGCUCUCGCUGCCCCGGCGUCGUGUUGGCCACACGUAGCCGCUCGUGACAUCAAACACUCAGUGAAACCCUAGCGGUCAAACGCUGAGGGAUGAGGGCCAGUGGAGACUUUUGACUCCUGGGCCGUAGCACAUCGAUCCAAGCAGUGAGUUCACUAUCAUGUCCCCUGAUCAAUAAAUCUAUCGCGUUCUCGUGCGCCGUGACACCAGCAGCUGAAAGCUAACUCAGGCUUUGGUGCAGCCUGGUGGAGGCAACGUUCUUUAGCUGCCAGUUUAGCAGAAAAGAGGGAGGGUGAAAAAUGAGGCCAACCUGUGUCUUCGUAAUAACAGCGUGUUAAAUGGGAUAAAAUGAAUGAAGCAGGGUCAGGGUCGGCGUCUGCAGAGGAUGUGGGGUCACGCGGUGGCAGCCGACGCACAGAGAGCAGGAGGGAGGCCGACGCGCUGACAGCUGCUACGAGUGAUUAGAGCACGUAGUGAUGCAGAGAGGACGCCAAAGCUCUUUAGGGAGAAUCCCCAGCGAGGAGGAGGAGAGCGCGCGCGCGCACACACACACACACACACACACACACACACACACACACACACACACACACACACACACACACAGAAAGUGGGUGGGAUCUUCAGAUUAUAAUGGGUGUGGAAGUUGAUGGAUCUCCUCAUUAAUCUCUUUUAGACCAAUGACUGUUCAGUUGUGCUUGUCUCCAUUGUAUUAUCCGCAGUAACAUUGUUAUCGUGACAGUGAUAUUACAGAUAUUUUGCAGUGAUCUGGGUUCCAUUUUAUUUGUGAUUAUCCUCAAAAAAGAAGAGAGCAGGUACGGGCACCAGGCAAAUAUCUAUCUAUAUCAAAUUCUAUAUCAAAUUUUAUGUAGUCAUCAGAAGAAGAAAUGAGCAGGAGGUAGUGGUGGCAUUCAUUAGUCACGAGCGCUGCUCUCGUGUACUGUCCUGUCAGGACCUUCAGCCAGGUCACGUCUUGGUACACACAAACAUAGGGAGACUCUGGAUUACAGUAAUCCACGGACAGGGGGGUAUUUUUAGGACCUUGUGGUCAGAGACAGCCUGGAUAUAACCAUCAAGGAAAACAGACUGUGAUCGUCAUACGAACAGAUGGAUUCUCUGGGAUCAGGGCGAAUAAAGUAGCAGGAAACAAAUGCCGACUACUGUCUUUGCAAAUAAAGUGGAUAAAAACUAAAACCAGUGUCGGUUUGCUUUAAAACGACCUGGUGCUAAAAAAGGAAAUUUGAUUUCCAAACCAGAUUAUUUUCUUACUGAAGCCUAAAUGACAUUGGGAUAAUGAUACAGAAAAGAACAGAAGUGUGACAGACGCCACUAGAUGGCAGCAUUUCCCCACUGACUAAGCUGAAGCUUCACAGACCAAAUGAAGGAUGUGAUGAAAGCAGCCUAGAAGCACCUACCCCAGAGGAUCAGCCCACCUGGCACUGGCAGCCCGGCUCAUUCCAGUGGUACCUGUCAAGAAAGGGCAACCCUCAGGCAUCAUGUAGUCAGGUUCAACGCCUGACGUGUUGGAAGCAGGGGAAUAAGCACAUUUAUAAACACAUAAUAGAUUUCGUUUGAAAGAACCCGUGUAUGUAUCUACAGGUGUCCGCUAGAGGGCGCCACCGUUGUGCUGAUAAACUGUGGUUUAUGUUAUUUUCUUUAUUCCAUACUGUUUAUUCAUUACAUGAUCCGUAUUCUGUUUAUUACUUUCUGUUUAUUUAAAUAACCGUAGUUGGAGCUGUCUAUUAAGCUUCUUGUCUGAGUGCAAAGAGCCACAAUAAUGAAGUGGAGCCUUGACCUUUUGUA